AGAGUUUGAUCCUGGCUCAGAACGAACGCUGGCGGCGUGCUUAACACAUGCAAGUCGCGUGCGCAGUUUCCGUAGCAAUACGGGGAUCGGCGCACGGCGCACGGGUGCGUAACACGUGGGCAAUCUGCCCUCCGAUGGGGAAUACCCCCGCGAAAGCGGGACUAAUUCCGCAUAACAUUCCUUGGAUUAACUUUCGAGGAUUCAAAGCAGCAAUGCGUCGGAGGAGGAGCCCGCGCCCGAUUAGCUAGUUGGUGAGGUAACGGCUCACCAAGGCAAUGAUCGGUAGCUGGUCUGAGAGGAUGGCCAGCCACACUGGAACUGAGACACGGUCCAGACUCCUACGGGAGGCAGCAGUGGGGAAUCUUGCACAAUGGGCGAAAGCCUGAUGCAGCGACGCCGCGUGGGGGAUGAAGCUUUUCGGAGUGUAAACCCCUUUCGACUGGGACGAAUGCCCGCAAGGGAGUGACGGUACCAGGAUAAGAAGCCCCGGCUAACUACGUGCCAGCAGCCGCGGUAAGACGUAGGGGGCCAGCGUUGUUCGGAAUUACUGGGUGUAAAGGGUUCGUAGGCGGUGCGGCAAGUUGGGAGUGAAAUCUCUGGGCUCAACCCAGAGGCUGCUUCCAAAACUGCUGUGCUUGAGUGUGAGAGAGGCUCGUGGAAUUGCAGGUGUAGCGGUGAAAUGCGUAGAUAUCUGCAGGAACACCCGUGGCGAAAGCGGCGAGCUGGAUCACUACUGACGCUGAGGAACGAAAGCUAGGGGAGCAAACAGGAUUAGAUACCCUGGUAGUCCUAGCCCUAAACGAUCAGGACUUGGGGUGCCGCCCGUUCGGGCGUCGUCCCGGGGCUAACGCGUUAAGUCCUGCACCUGGGGAGUACGGUCGCAAGACUGAAACUCAAGGAAUUGACGGGGGCCCGCACAAGCGGUGGAACAUGUGGGUUCAAUUCGACGCUACGCGAGGACCCUUACCUGGGCUCGAAAUGCUAGUGA
rnacentral:rRNA from 1 species